AAAGACUUUGGUACCUUUGGUUGCACAUAUUUCUGAAAAAACCAGUCAUAGUAACGAUAUUGUGCAACGUACUCGUAGACAAUGGGAGAUACUCACAAGGCAUGGACUUUGAGCCAUGAACAGGAUGCUAUAAAGGGACCAGUACUGCCACCUGCAGGAGGACGCCGAAGGCGUAGCAAUUCGUGUUCCAAGAUUCAAGAUGGACAAACGUGACUCUCUCCGUCUUCGAGUGAACAUAAUACCAAUUUUGACGCAGAUACACCUCCGAUGAAACGAUUUAAGGGAUCCAGAUUGGAUUAAGGUAUAAUAAAUCUGAAAAGUAUUACAUUGAAAUUUCAACAGCUGAGUUGAUCGUAAACGUAAUAUAGGGUGUCCCAAAAAUGUUGGAGGUCCUUGAAAGGGGUGGUUCGGGAGGUGAUUUGAAACAACUUUUUCCUUUGCAAAAA